rnacentral:rRNA from 1 species
GAUGAACGCUGGCGGCGUGCUUAACACAUGCAAGUCGAACGGAAAGGCUCCUGCUUGCAGGGGUACUCGAGUGGCGAACGGGUGAGUAACACGUGGGUGAUCUGCCCUGCACUUCGGGAUAAGCCUGGGAAACUGGGUCUAAUACCGGAUAGGACCACAUUUUGGAUGGUGUGGUGGAAAGUUUUUCGGUGUGGGAUGAGCUCGCGGCCUAUCAGCUUGUUGGUGGGGUAAUGGCCUACCAAGGCGUCGCCGGGUAGCCGGCCUGAGAGGGUGUACGGCCACAUUGGGACUGGGAUACGGCCCAGGCUCCUACGGGAGGCAGCAGUGGGGAAUAUUGCACAAUGGGCGCAAGCCUGAUGCAGCGACGCCGCGUGGGGGAUGACGGCCUUCGGGUUGUAAACUCCUUUCGCUAGGGACGAAGCGUUUUUGUGACGGUACCUGGAGAAGAAGCACCGGCUAACUACGUG